rnacentral:tRNA from 3 species
GGGGGCAUAGCUCAGCUGGGAGAGCACAACGUUCGCAACGUUGGGGUCGAGGGUUCGAAUCCCUUUGCCUCCACCA